rnacentral:lncRNA from 1 species
UGGUUUGAGCAACUGCCGAUUGAGGAGUUGGAGGUGCGAGGCUCAGAUCUGCGUUGAGUUCGGAGAAGGUUCGCCAACGAUUUUUCUCUCGAUUAAGUCAUUUCCGAGGGUUUUCCUUCUCAGCUCUCGUUUUCUUUGUUCCCUUCGAACAUGUGCUUUUUUCACGCCGACGGACGAUGGAGGAUCCUCCUCUUGUCGAUUCAGCCAUUGAACCGACCGAACCUGGCAUCUUCCUGAAGCGAGACUGAAAACCAUUGGAAUCGCCACGCCUGUCAGUAGAGCACGAGUUUGUUCUACGACGUCAGAAGGAACGCUCUCUU